UAGGGAAUCUUGCGCAAUGGGCGAAAGCCUGACGCAGCCAUGCCGCGUGAAUGAUGAAGGUCUUAGGAUUGUAAAAUUCUUUCACCGGGGAAGAUAAUGACGGUACCCGGAGAAGAAGCCCCGGCUAACUUCGUGCCAGCGGCCGCGGUAAUACGAAGGGGGCUAGCGUUGCUCGGAAUUACUGGGCGUAAAGGGCGCGUAGGCGGAUGUUUAAGUCGGGGGUGAAAGCCCGGGGCUCAACCUCGGAAUUGCCUUCGAUACUGGACAUCUUGAGUACGGGAGAGGUGAGUGGAACUCCGAGUGUAGAGGUGAAAUUCGUAGAUAUUCGGAAGAACACCAGUGGCGAAGGCGACUCACUGGCCCGUUACUGACGCUGAGGCGCGAAAGCGUGGGGAGCAAACAGGAUUAGAUACCCUGGUAGUCCACACCGUAAACGAUGAGUGCUAGUUGUCGGCAUGCAUGCAUGUCGGUGACGCAGCUAACGCAUUAAGCACUCCGCCUGGGGAGUACGGUCGCAAGAUUAAAACUCAAAGGAA
rnacentral:rRNA from 1 species